rnacentral:lncRNA from 1 species
ACAAAGAGAAUAAUCACAUGAUAGUCACGUAAGUCAGGUUUCAGUGAUUUAGUGAUAGAGAAAGGACCAGAAGCAUGCAAGGAGUUGAGUGAAAAUCAUAGUCAAGUUUGACAAGUAGCAAGAACUCAGAACCAAAAGAAACCACAUAAAGGAACAUAAAUGUUGAAGCAAAGGAAUCAAAUUGAGCAAUUUCAAACAGACGAAGGAUUUCAGGAACUCAAAUAGACCCCAAAGAACUAGGGUUUUCAAAAUUAGUCAGGUUUAUAGAAGAUAAGCAGUUAAACAUAUAAACAAUCUUAGAGUCUCAAAUAAACACCAAAAGUUAGAGUUUUCACCACUAAGCAGUGAAUUAAACAAUACUAGCGUGUAGACUUUAAAAAGAUCAAACAAAUCUAAAAAAUUAGGGUUUUCAAUCUCCAAUUAAACCUAGAGAUGAUAGGAAUAUGAAUUGAACCGUCAUUUAAAAAAUAGACUUAGAAACCUUAACUUAAAAUCAAAGGGUUUUGAAAAAGAAAAUUUGGGAAAAAUAUUUUAAACAUCACACACAACAUAGAUCUAGCACUGAUCUAAACGAAAAAUCAAAAAGGAACGUCGAAUAGGCUAGGGUUUCUCAGAACCCUAAAGGACGAGAAAGUCUUGGAAGAUGCAAGAUCAUAUCUGAGUCGAUGAGGUCGGAACCAUGCUCAGGUUGCUAAGAUACGCCAGAGCACGGUCGGAAUUGGCUAAAAACCUUGGAUCGACGAAGGUCUGGGUGAAGGCUCUCGAAGAAUGGCCUUGAAUCUUUAGGAAUCAGGCAUGUGCGAGCAGUAGGAGGUGAGUAUAGAUCGUCCAUGGCUAGAGCAGCCAUGAAUUCUGGUGGAUUUGAGGUCAAAAAGGGGUAGGCAUCGAUUAGGGUUUGAGAGCGUUUGAGAGAGAGGAGGAC